UAAGUGAACUUUUAACAGGCCUUCCAACCAUUGUUGCAGAUCUUGAGCCUCAUCAGAUCCAUUCAUUCUAUGAAUCGGUUGGUCAUAUGAUUCAUGCAGAAUCUGAUCCUCAGAAGAGGGAUGAGUUUCUACAGAGAUUGAUGGAGCUGCCUAAUCAGAAAUGGGCUGAAAUUAUAGGACAGGCACGCUUAAGCGUUGAUUUCCUGAAGGAUCAAGAUGUGAUAAGGACGGUGUUGAAUAUUGUGUGUAUAGAUUCUUGGCUCCUACUUCACUUCUGUGAUGUAUGUGGAGCAUUGGUGUGAGGAGAAUUUCAGGAGCCUAACACUGGGCAGCCCAGAUUUUUCUGACAUUGAAAUGGUUAGUCGCUAAAAAAAUACUAUGUCAUAUACCUUUUUUUUAUUGAGUUUCAGAUGAUCUCCAGAAUAUAUUGUUUACAAAUUGGUGCAACAUAAUUUGUUUUUUU